rnacentral:rRNA from 1 species
UGGGGAAUAUUGGACAAUGGGCGAAAGCCUGAUCCAGCCAUGCCGCGUGUGUGAAGAAGGCCUUCGGGUUGUAAAGCACUUUAGUUUGGGAAGAAGUGUGUGAUACGAAUAGUGUUAUGCAUUGACGGUACCAAAAGAAUAAGCACCGGCAAACUCCGUGCCAGCAGCCGCGGUAAUACGGAGGGUGCGAGCGUUAAUCGGAAUUACUGGGCGUAAAGGGCGCGUAGGCGGAUAGAUAAGUUGGUUGUGAAAUUUCUGGGCUUAACCUAGGAGCUGCAAUCAAUACUGUUUAUCUUGAGUAGGGUAGAGGGAGGUAGAAUUUCCGGUGUAGCGGUGAAAUGCGUAGAUAUCGGAAAGAAUACCGGUGGCGAAAGCGGCCUCCUGGACUCAUACUGACGCU